rnacentral:rRNA from 1 species
CAGGACGAACGCUGGCGGCGUGCCUAAUACAUGCAAGUCGAACGGUCUUUCUAUGGAAGCUUGCUUCCACUGAGAAGAUAGUGGCGAACGGGUGAGUAACACGUGGGUAACCUGCCCAUGAGAGGGGGGAUAACAUCCGGAAACGGGUGCUAAUACCGCAUAGUUUUCUUGAUCGCAUGAUCGGGAAAGGAAAGACGGCCUUUGUGCUGUCGCUUAUGGAUGGACCCGCGGCGUAUUAGUUAGUUGGUGAGGUAACGGCUCACCAAGACGAUGAUACGUAGCCGACCUGAGAGGGUGAUCGGCCACAUUGGGACUGAGACACGGCCCAAACUCCUACGGGAGGCAGCAGUAGGGAAUCUUCCGCAAUGGACGAAAGUCUGACGGAGCAACGCCGCGUGAGUGAAGAAAAGGUUUUCGGAUCGUAAAACUCUGUUGUCAGAGAAGAACAAGUUGGAGAGUAACUGCUCCAGCCUUGACGGUAUCUGACCAGAAAGCCACGGCUAACUACGUGCCAGCCGCUGC